AUUGAACGCUGGCGGCAGGCUUAACACAUGCAAGUCGAGCGGAGAUGAGGUGCUUGCACCUUAUCUUAGCGGCGGACGGGUGAGUAAUGCUUAGGAAUCUGCCUAUUAGUGGGGGACAACAUUCCGAAAGGAAUGCUAAUACCGCAUACGUCCUACGGGAGAAAGCAGGGGAUCUUCGGACCUUGCGCUAAUAGAUGAGCCUAAGUCGGAUUAGCUAGUUGGUGGGGUAAAGGCCUACCAAGGCGACGAUCUGUAGCGGGUCUGAGAGGAUGAUGCGCCACACCAGGACUGAGACACGGCCCAGACUCCUACGGGAGGCAGCAGUGGGGAAUAUUGGACAAUUGGGGGAACCCUGAUCCAGCCAUGCCGCGUGUGUGAAGAAGGCCUUUUGGUUGUAAAGCACUUUAAGCGAGGAGGAGGCGCUCUAGGCUAAUACCCUAGAUGCGUGGACGUUACUCGCAGAAUAAGCACCGGCUAACUCUGUGCCAGCCGCCGCCGUAACAC
rnacentral:rRNA from 1 species